rnacentral:lncRNA from 1 species
UCCAGGGUCAUACGCCGGGCGCAUUAGAUGUGCAAUAGUAGAUGGGAUCUACUGUCGGGGUCAGGAUUUUUGCCGUAUGCGUAUGCUUCGGUAAAUCAGCCGUAACUUUUCGGUACGAUCUCGGAUCGGGGCGAAUUUUAUAUGAAAAUUGAUCUACAGAAAAAGUUACACAUGAAAUUCAACAUCUUCGCCGUUUUCGGCGAAAUUAGAUUU